AGAGUUUGAUCCUGGCUCAGAAUCAACGCUGGCGGCGUGCCUAACACAUGCAAGUCGAACGAGAAAGUGGGAGCAAUCCUGCGAGUACAGUGGCAGACGGGUGAGUAACACGUGAACAACCUGCCCUCGAGUGGGGAAUAACACCGCGAAAGCGGUGCUAAUACCGCAUAACAUCCCUGGGGCGCAUGUCCUGGGGAUCAAAGGCGAAAGUCGCUUGAGGAGGGGUUCGCGCCUGAUUAGCUAGUUGGUGAGGUAACGGCCCACCAAGGCGACGAUCAGUAGCCGGCCUGAGAGGGCGAACGGCCACACUGGAACUGAGACACGGUCCAGACUCCUACGGGAGGCAGCAGUGGGGAAUUUUGCGCAAUGGGCGAAAGCCUGACGCAGCAACGCCGCGUGGAGGAUGAAGGCCUUCGGGUCGUAAACUCCUGUCAGGGGGGACGAAAAAAAUGACUGUACCCCCUGAGGAAGCCACGGCUAACUCCGUGCCAGCAGCCGCGGUAAUACGGAGGUGGCAAGCGUUGUUCGGAAUUACUGGGCGUAAAGGGCGCGUAGGCGGCUUUGCAAGUCAGAUGUGAAAGCCCCGGGCUUAACUCGGGAAUUGCAUCUGAAACUGCUUUGCUUGAGUCCUGGAGGGGGUAGUGGAAUUCCCAGUGUAGCGGUGAAAUGCGUAGAUAUUGGGAGGAACACCUGUGGCGAAGGCGGCUACCUGGACAGUGACUGACGCUGAUGCGCGAAAGCUAGGGGAGCAAACGGGAUUAGAUACCCCGGUAGUCCUAGCCGUAAACGAUGGGCACUUGGUGUCGGGGGUAUUGAGUCCCUCGGUGCCGGAGUUAACACGUUAAGUGCCCCGCCUGGGGAGUACGGUCGCAAGACUGAAACUCAAAUGAAUUGACGG
rnacentral:rRNA from 1 species